rnacentral:rRNA from 1 species
CGGAGGUUGCAAGCGUUGUUCGGAAUUACUGGGCGUAAAGGGGGCGCAGGCGGUUCGCCAAGUUGAAAGUGGAAGCCCGGGGCUCAACCCCGGAUUGUCUUUCAAUACUAGCGAACUUGAGUUUGGGAGAGGAAAGCGGAAUUCCGGGUGUAGCGGUGAAAUGCGUAGAUAUCCGGAGGAACACCGAUGGCGAAAGCAGCUUUCUGGCCCGAUACUGACGCUCAUGCCCGAAAGCGUGGGGAGCGAACAGGAUUAGAUACCCUGGUAGUCCACGCCGUAAACGUUGUGCACUAGGUGUAGGAGGUGUCGACCCCUUCUGUGCCGCAGCUAACGCAUUAAGUGCACCGCCUGGGGAGUACGGUCGCAAGACUG